UCUCUAACUCUUUUAAGUAGGCCGCACACCCAGCACGGAGCCCAAGGUGGGGCCUGAACUCACGACCUGGGCCGAGAUCAAGAGUGGGAUGUUCACCCGACGGAGCCACCGUGGCGCCCCUAUUACACUGAGGCCCUUAAAGAUGGAGCCAAGAAGGAAUUCAGUAAAAGUCAUCUCUGCCCAGUACGGGCGCGCCCCAAUUAGGAACCUCGCUGUCGCCCCUCGUCUGAUAGGAAGCACACGCUCUCCUGGGCAGCCGAGAGCACAGUGAGGGGAGCACGCCGGCCGUCGUCACAUUGGAGCUGCUGGAGGCCCCUCAGGACACCACAUAUGGCCUCAGUCAUCGUCCCCAAACUCAGACAUUCAGACAAGCGUGAUGGAGAAACGCCACGGCGCCCACACCCCAGUUUCUCCCAGCACUUAUUUUAUUGCAAAAAUCAGUUCGUCACAAAUAUCAUUUUGUAAGCAGCUGAUCUCCCGUCUAGAGAACCGGGUUCUGUGCGGAGAACAGGAACAACCCGUCACUUAGGGGCUGGCGGUCCUGGCUGGAGGGCCGUGCUGCCCUCUGGCCGAGGGGAUUCAGGCUCCCACCUGCAGCCUCACGGUCACAUCUGUCCCUGUCUGCGUCCCAUGCCUGGGAAGUGCCCACACUGUGUGCUCUU
rnacentral:lncRNA from 1 species